rnacentral:misc_RNA from 1 species
GAUGAAGAACGCAGCAAAAUGCGAUAAGUAAUGUGAAUUGCAGAAUUCAGUGAAUCAUCGAAUCUUUGAACGCACAUUGCGCCCGCCAGUAUUCUGGCGGGCAUGCCUGUUCGAGCGUCAUUUCAACCCUCAAGCACAGCUUGGUGUUGGGACUCGCGUUAAUUCGCGUUCCUCAAAUUGAUUGGCGGUCACGUCGAGCUUCCAUAGCGUAGUAGUAAAACCCUCGUUACUGGUAAUCGUCGCGGCCACGCCGUUAAACCCCAACUUCUGAAGUUGACCUCGAAUCAGGUAGGAAUACCCGCUGAACUUAAGCAUAUCAAUAAGCGGAGGA